UUGAAUGAUGCCGCGUGUGGUCACGCCGCUCCAUUUCACCAACUGGCCCAACUUCGGCGUGUCCUUCUCUCCCAUCGGCAUGCUCAAGUUCCAAGAAAGUCAAAGGCGCUCAAGCCGCCCGUCGCGCCCAUCGUGGUCCACUGCAGCGCUGACGUUGUUCAGACGGGCAGGUUCAUCGUGAUUGAUGGUAUGAUGGACAAGAUGCACGCUGGACACAAAGCGGUAGUUUGGAAAUCCGAGAGCAGCGUCUGCAGCUCUUCCAGACCGUGAUGCAGUAUUCAUCUACCAGGCGCCAAAAUGCGUAACUCUCCCCGCCUUAACUGUAUUUGUGAUUUAAUGUGAACUGUUCUGUAAUCCCGAAUGCAUUAUCGCCUCACCCCAUCACCUGCCUAUCCUCUUGAACAAAAUCCCUUGAACCCUUACUCUGAAGGCCUAACCUCUAAUGCCUAUACAGAUAAUUACCUAACCUAAGAGGCCGAUCUGCUUUACCCUAAUUUCUAACUGCAAUCUCAAACCUCGAGCGCCAACCCUGAACAUCGUGCCCUCAACCAUAAAACCCUAACACUGUCAACCCCAUCUUUUAAUCCCUAAUCCUACCCCUCACCACUUUAACCAUAUUCCAAAUGCAAACUCUAAACCUCAACCUGAAUCCUAAAUUCCCUUGCACCCUCAGACCCAGGGGUGUCCGAACUCUGUCCUUGGGCGGCUGUCCUGCCCGUUUCCCAGCUCCCCCAAGAGCAACACGCCUGAUUCAAAUAAUCAGGAUCGUUGUAAUGCUGCUUCAGAGAUGCCUGAUGAGCUGAUCAUCUGAAUCAAGUGUGUUGCAGCCGGGAGAG